rnacentral:rRNA from 1 species
UACAGAGGUGGCAAGCGUUGUUCGGAUUUACUGGGCGUAAAGGGUCCGUAGGCGGCUCGGAAAGUCAAAUGUGAAAUCCCACAGCUUAACUGUGGAACUGCAUUUGAAACUCCCGAGCUAGAGUAUGAGAGGGGUAAAGGGAAUUCCCGGUGUAAGGGUGAAAUCUGCAGAGAUCGGGAGGAACACCAGUCGCGAAGGCGCUUUACUGGCUCAUUACUGACGCUCAGGGACGAAAGCUAGGGUAGCAAACGGG